rnacentral:lncRNA from 1 species
AGUAUCUGCUGGCCAGGCUGGAGGGCAGUGGCAAUCAUAGCUCACUGUAGCCUUGAACUCCUGGGCUUAGGUGUUCUCCUGACUCAGUCUUCCAAGUAGCUGGAACUACAGGUGUGUGCCACCAUGCCUGGCUAAUUUUUUAAAUCUUUUGCAGAGAUAGGGUCUUGCUAUGUUGCCCAGACUGGUCUCCAACUCUUGGACUCAGACGAGGUUUUGCCAUGUUGCCCAAGCUGAUCUCGAACUUCUUGGCUCAAGUGAUCUGCCUGCCUUCCAAAGUGCUGGGAUUACAGGCAUGAGCCACCAAGCGCAGCCAUGAUUUAUUAGAUCACUUCUAAAAGCCCUCUCUCCAUCUCCAAGCCAGCAAGUGCUUCUUUGCACCCCAGCUCUAAAACAAAGCCCUUGGGGACACAAUCAAAGACAGUAGUUGCCAAGAGGAAUAGGGAGCAUGGAAAGAAGGUGCUGGAUGUGCAUACAGCUAACCUGGUAACUCCAAACUGGAUGAGCUCAUUCCUUGAGACUGGAAUUACAAAAUUGGAACAGCUCACUAAUAAUUGAAGAUGAUUUGGGAAAACCAUUAUCCUUCCUCAGGUUUUACAAGAACCUGUGACAAAUGAAAAUGGUUUUCCUAGAUAAGAACGAAACUGUGUUGGGUGGCUAACAAGAUUGAAACUCAUCUGACUUUGAGAAAUAAAUCAAUUUGGGUAAAAUUAAACUGCGGGACAUAGCGCAGAAGACUUGUCACAAUUUAGGACCAACCUACCAAGACUUCUUGAUCUCUUUCCACUUCUUGCCCCUCACUGUGUUUGAUUUCUGCCUUCCAGUCUGAACUUCUCACUAUAUUCCAGAAAAGGCCUGUUAAAGAGAUCUGGUAGUCAAAAGCAACCUCUUUUUUGCUUGUGCUCUCUGUUAUACAUAAGAAACCAGUCCUGCUGCAGCUCCAUAUUUGCAUUACUAAUUUAAUCAGUUAGCGGGACACAUGCUCUUUAUAACCCAAAAAAUUGAAGCAUGAAAUUUGGGAGUCAUACCCAUCACCCAAAUGUGGCAUAACAAUGUUCUUCUUCCCCGCAAAGCAGUGUCCUUCCCCAAAGAAAUUCUGGGGAUUGGCAUUUUCUUCAUCCACUCCUUUCAUUAUUUCCUUUACCUAUUUCUCUGAGUCUAUUAGCAUCCUUGGAGGGGGGAAUGUAUCUUAUUUAUUGUUAUAUCUCCCAGGCUCACACAUCACUCAAUAAAGGUUUGUUGAAUGAAACAAUAAAUGGAUGCAAGACUAAAUGAACAAAGAAAAGCCACGGGGAAGAUAACAAUGUUAUGUCAUAAUUCAGGAUCAUCUUUUUCUGUUUUUUCCCCUCCAGCUUUAUUGAGGUAUAAUUGACAAAUAAAAAUUAUAUAUAUUCAAGGUGUCCAACAAGAUGUUUUGAUAUACAUAUACAUUGUGAAAUGAUUACCACAAUCAAACUAAUUAGCAUGUCCAUUACCUCACAUAAUUACCUUUUUUAUGUGUGCUGAGAAUACUUAAGAUUUGCUUUCUUAGCAAAUUUUAAGUAUACAAUACAUUAUGAUUAACUAUAGUCAUCAUACUUUACAGUAAGUCUCCAGAACUUACUUCAUCUGCAGGUUUGUACUCUGACCAACAUCAUCUUAUUUCACUCCCCACCCCACUUUCAGCACUGGUAACCACAUUUCUAUUCUAAGCCUUCUGGUGAAAUUUCUUUCUUAUUUCACUCCCAGUGAGUAACACAAGAGAAAAAUAAACAACAAAAGCCAGUCAAUAAUUAUAAAGUGAAUCUUACCAGUAUAGAGUUAUAAGCCUUGUUUUUACUUCACUGAUAAUGUUGUCGUGAACACUGUUUGAAUAAUGAAGACUAAAGGAAUGAUGGCAUGCACUGUGAGUUCUUGAUGUGGUUGAAGCAAAAUUCCCAACAAACAGACAUUUUGCUAUUUCAUUAGUGUUUAUGGCUGAU